rnacentral:misc_RNA from 1 species
AUCAAAGUGUUUGUGGCAUUAACAACACAUCCAUUCAACUCCUGAAAAACAUAUCUGCUGAUGCGUAGUGCUUCUUUAGGAUUUCACUUACUUUAUCAAUAUCACUGAUGUCUGCUUCAAACAGCGACUGCCAACCUGAUUGACUUUUCCAAGGUUGUAAUUCUCUAUCCAUUCAGCAGCUGAAGAAUAAGAAAAUCAUCAUUAUUGUGAUUGGUGAUUUCUGUAUACCAAAUUUCCCUUGUCCCUUUUUUUACUUUUUCUGAUCCAAGUAUUUCUAUAGUUUGUCUUUAAUUUCAUUGAUUCUAUACCCAAUGCAGGAAUUAAGUUUAUUUAAUUGGCUUUGUUUGAUUAUUGAAAAUUUUUGGUUUGUUUGAAGUUUGGUUCUUGAAAAAAUUUGGGUUUUGAGAGCAAAAAUGAGAGCAUGCAGAUGGUAGGAAGAACUGAUAGACCAAGCCAAACCAAUUUAUUUUGGUUCAGUUAGCUUUUCUAAAUCACUUUGGUUUGGUUUUUCGUGAAAUAUAUUUUGGUAAUUUGGAAUUUUUGGUUUGGAUUGGAACUGAAUUAAUCGUUUGCACUCCCCUAUUAAUGUUGUGGAAAUAAGUAAUGGAUGUUUCUCAGUAAUAAAUAUACGCGUAUGUUUCUGGGUUUUCUACUAUAUUGUGCUGACUCUUUGUGGAAGAAGAAGAAAUGACUUUCUGAAACCGUUAUGCUAUUUAUUGUUAGUUGCCAUUGGUGCAAUGAGGUGUAUGGAUACAAUUGAUUAUUUACUUUUGCACUGUUCAGUUGUUGAGGUGGUCGAUGUUCUUCACUUUUUGUUUGUAGUCAGUGUGUUAUGCCUGUCAGCAAGAGA